AGUGGCGGACGGGUGACGUAAUGUCUGGGAAACGUGCCUGAUGGAGGGGGAGUAACUACUGGAAACGGUAGCUAAUACCGCAUAACGUCGCAAGACCAAAGAGGGGGACCUUCGGGCCUCUUGCCAUCGGAUGUGCCCAGAUGGGAUUAGCUUGUUGGUGGGGUAACGGCUCACCAAGGCGACGAUCCCUAGCUGGUCUGAGAGGAUGACCAGCCACACUGGAACUGAGACACGGUCCAGACUCCUACGGGAGGCAGCAGUGGGGAAUAUUGCACAAUGGGCGCAAGCCUGAUGCAGCCAUGCCGCGUGUAUGAAGAAGGCCUUCGGGUUGUAAAGUACUUUCAGCGGGGAGGAAGGGAGUAAAGUUAAUACCUUUGCUCAUUGACGUUACCCGCAGAAGAAGCACCGGCUAACUCCGUGCCAGCAGCAGC
rnacentral:rRNA from 1 species